rnacentral:rRNA from 1 species
AACGAACGCUGGCGGCAUGUCUAACACAUGCAAGUCGAACGAUUGCCUUCGGGUGAUAGUGGCGCACGGGUGCGUAACGCGUGGGAAUCUGCCCUUAGGUUCGGAAUAACAGCUGGAAACGGCUGCUAAUACCGGAUGAUAUCGCGAGAUCAAAGAUUUAUCGCCUGAGGAUGAGCCCGCGUUGGAUUAGGUAGUUGGUGGGGUAAAGGCCUACCAAGCCGACGAUCCAUAGCUGGUCUGAGAGGAUGAUCAGCCACACUGGGACUGAGACACGGCCCAGACUCCUACGGGAGGCAGCAGUGGGGAAUAUUGGACAAUGGGCGCAAGCCUGAUCCAGCAAUGCCGCGUGAGUGAUGAAGGCCCUAGGGUUGUAAAGCUCUUUUACCCGGGAAGAUAAUGACUGUACCGGGAGAAUAAGCCCCGGCUAACUCCGUG